rnacentral:rRNA from 1 species
UACGGAAGGGGCAAGCGUUGUUCGGAAUCAUCGGGCGUAAAGGGCGCGUAGGUGGUUCUGUAUGUCUACCGUGAAAGCGUACGGCUCAACCGUAUUUUGUCGGUGGAAACUGCAGGACUUGAGGCUGGGAGGGGCUGGUGGAAUUCCCUGUGUAGCGGUGAAAUGCGCAGAUAUCUGGAGGAAUACCGGUGGCGAAGGCGGCAUCCUGGACCGGCAUUGACGCUGAGGAGCGAAAGCGUGGGGAGCAAACAGG